rnacentral:rRNA from 1 species
GUCCAGGUUAGGCAGGGUUACCCGCUAAAUUUAA